rnacentral:snRNA from 1 species
GAUCCAUUUAUGAGUGAGAAGGAAAAUAAUGAUUUGGGAUGAUGCCCAAAUCCUCACUGCUAAUGUGAGAUGAAUUUUUGAGCAGGUAAAAGGUUGCCCCUAAAGUGACCUGCCUACUUUGCGGGAUGCCAGGGAGUUGUGAUCUGCCUG